UAGGGAAUCUUCCACAAUGGACGAAAGCCUGAUGGAGCAACACCGCGUGAGUGAAGAAGGGUUUCGGCUCGUAAAACUCUGUUGUUAAAGAAGAACAUAUCUGAGAGUAACUGUUCAGGUAUUGACGGUAUUUAACCAGAAAGCCACGGCUAACUACGUACCAG
rnacentral:rRNA from 1 species